GACAGAGGAUGCAAGCGUUAUCCAGAAUGAUUGGGCGUAAAGCGUCUGUAGGUGGCUUUUCAAGUCCGCCGUCAAAUCCUAGGGCUCAAUCCUGGACAGGCGGUGGAAACUACCAAGCUAGAGUACAGUAGGGGCAGAGGGAAUUUCCGGUGGAGCAGUGAAAUGCAUUGAGAUCGGAACGAACACCAAUGGCGAAAGCACACGGCUGGGCCAACACUGACACUGAGAGACGAAAGCUAGGGGAGCAAAUGGG
rnacentral:rRNA from 1 species